AGAGUUCUUUCUUCUUCAUGGCCAAUACUCUCAUCUCCUAGCUGCUUGGAAUGUCAGCUGCUGUCUUACAGAUGUAUCCCUCACUAAGAAUACCCUUGGACUAUAAGAAACUGCCUCUCCUAAAGGACAUCCCUACUCCAGAACUCCCUAUAGGACAACUGAGGAUUGGAAUGAAACCUGACUGAGAUCCAUUCCACUUCAUGCAUACCAUUCCACCUUCCUCACUUCCCCAGAGGCAUUUCUCCAGUAAACUUCUGCAGGCAACUCUCCACCUCAGAAUUUGCAUCUAGGGAACCCAGCUUAAACAGUGUUCUACCUGAGGAGGCGCUGUCCCCCAACGUAUUUAAUGUAAUUACAAGCAACAGAAACCAGGAUGAGCUGGCUCAAGGGGGAAAAUCUUAUUGGAAACAUAUGAAUCUAUCACAUAGAAUCCAAAGAAUUGACCAACCAACCAUGAAGGGCAGAAGCCAAGGAAGCUCUGGAGACCCUGGCAACAACUGCUUUGGAAACUUUCCUUUCCUUUAUUAUGCCGUUAACAUGACCAGUCCAAACUCUCCGUUCUCUGUGUAUCACAAUUUAAAUUCAAAAUCUUCUGGAGGGGGCACAAUCUGAUUGGUUCCCAUGCUCUAUAUCCUUCAGUGCCCAAUACAGAAGCCAUCAGCUACAUGUAGCCAUGGAGCACUUGAAGUGUGACUACCACAAUUGACAAACUGAAUUUUUUUAUCUAAUUUUAUUAACUAACUUAAAGAUUAAAGCAAAGUGAAAUAUUUUUCUGUUGCACACAACUUUCUUAUUUUGGUGUAAACUGAACACAUUUUACCUUAACUAUUAAAAUUUAUCAUUUAAAUUGAGAUGUGUUGCCACUGUAAAAUAUACCAGAUUUU